rnacentral:rRNA from 1 species
AUGGAAGCCAUUUUCUUGGUACGACAACUUAUGGAGAGAUAUAGGGAGCAUAAGAAGGACUUGCAUAUGGUGUUCAUUGACUUGGAGAAGGCCUAUGAUAAGAUACCGCGGAAUGUCAUGUGGUGGGCCUUGGAGAAACACAAAGUCCCAGCAAAGUACAUUACCCUCAUCAAGGACAUGUACAAUAAUGUUGUGACAAGUGUUCGAACAAGUGAUGUCGACACUGAUGACUUCCCGAUUAAGAUAGGACUGCAUCAGGGGUCAGCUUUGAGCCCUUAUCUUUUUGCAUUGGUGAUGGAUGAGGUCACAAGGGGUAUACAAGGAGAUAUCCCAUGGUGUAUGCUCUUUGCGGAUGAUGUGGUGCUAGUUGACGAUAGUCGGACGGGGGUAAAUAGGAAGUUAGAGUUAUGGAGACAAACCUUGGAAUCGAAAGGGUUUAGGCUUAGUAGAACUAAAACCGAGUACAUGAUGUGCGGUUUCAGUACUACUAGCUGUGAGGAGGAGGAGGUUAGCCUUGAUGGCCAGGUGGUACCUCGGAAGGACACCUUUUGGUAUUUGGGGUCAAUGUUGCAGGAGGAUGGGGGUAUUGAUGAAGAUGUGAACCAUCGAAUCAAAGCCGGAUGGAUGAAGUGGCGCCAAGCUUCUGGCAUUCUCUAUGACAAGAGAGUGCCACAAAAGCUAAAAGUUAGGUGUGGCGGAGAUGCGUAUGUUGAGAUGGAUGUGUGGCCACACGAGGAAGGAUCGAGUCCGGAAUGA